rnacentral:rRNA from 1 species
CCCUUAGAUGUUCUGGGCCGCACGCGCGCUACACUGACGAAUGCAACGAGCUUAUAACCUUGGCCGAAAGGUCUGGGUAAUCUCCAAAUUUCGUCGUGAUGGGGAUAGAUUAUUGCAAUUAUUAAUCUUCAACGAGGAAUGCCUAGUAAACGCAAGUCAUCAGCUUGCAUUGAUUACGUCCCUGCCCUUUGUACACACCGCCCGUCGCACCUACCGAUUGAAUGGUCCGGUGAAAUCUCGGGACGGCGGCUCGGUCGCUUGCGUCCGACUGCUGAAACUUGAUUAAACCAUAUCAUUUAGAGGAAGGUGAANUCGUAACA